ensembl:lincRNA 4930570G19Rik RIKEN cDNA 4930570G19 gene
GGACUGGGAAGCUAGGGCGACUGAGGAUACGCCGAGGUCUAGUCCGGCUUGGCAGCGCGAACUAGAGAGCUUUGCGAGCCGCGGGGCUGGGAAGUCAGGGCAUAAGGGCCAGGCCUGCCCUCUGGUGCUUUCGGCUCCUCGGGCCCCCGACUUUAAAGUGCUCAAGUUGGGGUCGGCGCCAUCAUGACGCCUGAGACUGAAGUACUACCCCACCAUUCCUGUGCAGUGCAUGAUCUUCAUGCAUUCAUUGCUGAGGGAACUUCAAUUGCAGGUGUAUUGAAAAACAUGUGAAGAAAAAGUUACAAGUAAUAGAAGAACUAACUCAUUCAGGAGCCCGAAGAAAGGAACAGAACUUCUAGUGUGAGAUGCUGAGACCGCCUCACUGUGAAAGAUGUUCCCUGUCCAUUCUGAUAAGAGGGGGACUGCACAGCUUGGAUUGACUCAUGUCUCUUGCUUGGAUCCUGCAACAUCUGACGACAGUGCAGGAAAUAAGUAAGGACAAUGUCAGAAAGCAAAGAGCAGGAAAUUACACGGGGUGAGAGUUAUACAUGGCCUAAUUCUCUAAGUCCUGCUUGUUCUGCCAGAGGGUUAGUGUGUUUCAAUAUCUUAUAUUAAGAGCAGGCAUUAUUUUUAAUAGUACAUCUCAUUUUCUCUCUAGAGAAAGCAGGAGAUAUAAUGCAUUCUGCAAGACUACAGCAGUGGCUUUCCAGGCACAGCCUAGUGGGCUGGGUAAUGUACUACCUCAAAACCAGAGCAAGGUCUACCCCAGAGCCUUGAUAAUGGCUCCACAGGAUCAGAACACUAUGCUCUCACACAAAACCCUUUUAAAACAAUACAUAUUUUAUGCCCCUUUAUCUAUAACUGAGGCUUUCCAAGGCAGAAUAAAUCCUGACGACUUUGUUAAUUAUAUAUUGAGGAUAUUGCAGAACUCAAGUGUAGGAAUAAAGCCAAGCCUCAACCAGAGACGCUCAAUUGGAAUAUGGUACAUGGUCAGCAGCUACUCUCUUUGCUUUCUCUUCUGGUAUUGAUUUUGUCAAAUAACUUUCUCCACUUCUCCUGAGGUAUGGUGAUCUAAAGGUAUAUAAAUUUUUCUUUUGUAUUUUGCAAUUAAUAAAACUUUCAAAGCCACCCAUUAAAAUCCAGAUACUAAUUCUAAAUAAUCAGAGAGGAUAAACAACACUCUAGUUUACACUAAUGUUCAUUUGAUCAUCACUGUGAAACCAGGUAAGAUUAAAAACAUAUGGGGGCUGAUAGCUUAGGGCAGUGGGAUUUUUCUCAUGUUGUAACAUGCUCUCAGAUCUUAACAAAACUGACUCCUUAACAGAAGUACUAUUCAUUCUAUAAAACCCAGCACAUAUAUAGCACCACCUGCCAAACUUAAAACAAAGAUCUAAUCUGUCAAAGUCCAUAGUUCUGAGAAAGUUUCUAAAUUUACUAACUUUGCAUUUGGCUUCUGUAUUUUCACUUCCAGCUAACUGUUCUUGUAAAUGGACAUAUGUCAACUCAGGAUAUAAUUUUUGUGUUUAAAACCUCACCCUGAGAAAGACUCACAGCUACACUGGGAUCCUGAACAUGCAGAGUAUUUUCUACCCUCCAGCCUGCUACGGCCUUCUCUUGGCUCUUCUUCUCUUAAACUUGUAGUCUUCUCUGGUAGACAUCUCACAACAAUGAAAAGGGAAUCACUCAGGAUGAAACUUGUCUAUACUUUAUGUCUAUACAUUGUGCUUUACAUAUUAUAAUUUCAAGGAGAUUACUAACUACUCAUGUGUUCAUAUUUAAAGUCAUUUUAAAACUUCUAUUCUACAUUUCAAUAUCUAUACUAUCCCCUUUCUAUAAUUUUGCUUCAAUUUGCAAAAGUGGGGUAUAUUUCUAUAAGUAAAAGUGGGCAGAACAUUUGCCUACAGGAAUGUACCUUGUAUCAACACUUGUGUUCUCUCUGUACAUGGGGCUAAGGAGCCAACAGUAUUGCCAUUCAUUUAAAGAGGGUUCCACCCUGUUUUGCUGUAGUGAGCACAUGAUCCCAUGCUGUGAGCUGUGAAGUGGUAGGUAGCAGAGAUGCUAAGUGGGAUUGGUAGCAGGACCUCCCUGUUAGAGCCAAGCAAUGGUACUUGCAUUCUGCUCUCAGCUUGCUGACUAGCAUUUGCAGUGAUGCCUUACAAAGACUGCUGACCUCAGCUUGAUUCAAUCUGUUGGAUUCUAAUCUGUCUAUUUCCACUACAGUGUUUAUACAUGAUUUCACAUACUACUGUUGGACAAGAAGGAACUAUUAGGUAUAUAUUUUUAGAAAAAAAAAUCCUUGAAAUAUUUUUCCCAAAUCAAUAUUAUUUUAUUCUAUGCAAUUAAUCUAAGACAUUUUAAGUCAAAAUACUGUUUCCAAAAAGUAAAUUACAUUUUCUAUUAAAACCUAAAUGGCUAGGCACUGGAUAUGACUCACUGGUGAAGAGCACUGGAUGACCUCCCGGAAGAUCCAGGUUCAAUUCCCAGCACUCAGAUGGCAGCUCAGUCUGUAAUUCCAGUUCUAAGGAAAUUGGCAUCCUCACACAGGCCUAAAUGCAGCUGAAAUACCAAUGCACAUAAAAAUAAAUGAAUCUUAAAAAAUUACUUAAGUAAAACCCAAAAUGACAUGUUUUCAGUGCUACAUCUAUCACAACGGCAAGACUAACUUUAGGAGCAAAUGCUCUUGCUUUUUCCAUUAUAGUUCAAUCAUAAACCAUGUAUAUAUGUUAUAUAUAUAUUUAUAAUUUACAGUUGUACAUGAAAGUUUAAUUUAUAUCAUAAAUGGAUGCUAGAUUUCUUAUUUUUUCUUUUUGGNNNNNNNNNNNNNNNNNNNNNNNNNNNNNNNNNNNNNNNNNNNNNNNNNNUAUUUCUUACUUAUUUUCAGUAAUAAGGUAGAAUAAUUAUCUAAAUAUAGACACAGUUUUACUAGGAAGUUGUAGAAGUAACACUUUGUAACACACUUUAGAUUGUAGGAUAAAAUUGUAAUUAUUCCUUAUCAGUCACACUAAUAGUCUUUGAAACAGUUUUUCCAGCUGUUAAAUGACAAAUAUGUUUUGCAAGAAUGAAAAGUUUUAGCACACACCUGACAAUAAAUGAACAUGCUGAAUGUUUUACACAUG